GAUGAAGAACGUAGCGAAAUGCGAUAAGUAAUGUGAAUUGCAGAAUCCAGUGAAUCAUCGAAUCUUUGAACGCACAUUGCGCCCGCCAGUAUUCUGGCGGGCAUGCCUGUCCGAGCGUCAUUUCAACCAUCAAGCCCCAGGCUUGUGUUGGGGACCUGCGUCCGACGCAGGCCCUGAAAACCAGUGGCGGGCUCGCUGUCCACACCGAGCGUAGUAACUAACCUCGCUACGGGAGCGGCGCGGGCGCCUGCCGUAAAACCCCCAAUUUUCACAAGGUUGACCUCGGAUGAGGUAGGAAUACCCGCUGAACUUAAGCAUAUCAAUAAGCGGAGGA
rnacentral:misc_RNA from 1 species